rnacentral:rRNA from 1 species
CCAGACUCCUACGGGAGGCAGCAGUGGGGGAUAUUGCACAAUGGGGGAAACCCUGAUGCAGCGACACCGCGUGGGUGAAGGAGCACCUCGGUGCGUAAAGCCCUAUCGGCAGGGAAGAAACAGACGGUACCUGACUAAGAAGCCCCGGCUAACUACGUGCCAGCAGCCGCGGUAAUACGUAGGGGGCAAGCGUUAUCCGGAUUCACUGGGUGUAAAGGGAGCGUAGACGGCGACGCAAGUCUGGAGUGAAAGCCCGGGGCCCAACCCCGGGACUGCUCUGGAAACUGCGGCGCUGGAGUACGGGAGGGGCAGGCGGAAUUCCUGGUGUAGCGGUGAAAUGCGUAGAUAUCAGGAGGAACACCGGCGGCGAAGGCGGCCUGCUGGGCCGUGACUGACGUUGAGGCUCGAGAGCGUGGGGAGCAAACAGGAUUAGAUACCCUAGUACA